AUCUCGUAUUGAAGUGUUAUAGCCUCUGAUAGAUGUAACGAUUGGGAUUGAGGAUUGCAACGGAUGUCCUUCGGGGCUAUCCGCCUGAUCUCUGGAAGUCACUUUGGUAUCGAAAGCGUGCUUUCGGUAUUGAGGAUGGUGACCAAAAGGUUAGAGCGUGAUUAAAUUCGUUAAGGAUGUUGACGUAAUGACUUUAAACGA
rnacentral:rRNA from 1 species